AUUGAACGCUGGCGGCGUGCCUAAUACAUGCAAGUCGAGCGAAGGGGGGACGGGUGAGGAAGACGUGGAAAAACGCCGAUAAGACUGGGAUAAAUUCGGGAAACCGGUGCUAAACCUGCUACUUGUGGAUGGAUCCGCGCUGCAUUAGCUAGUUGGUAAGUUAACGGCUUACCAAGGCAACGAUGCAUAGCCGACCUGAGAGGGUGAUCGGCCACACUGGAACUGAGACACGGUCCAGACUCCUACGGGAGGCAGCAGUAGGGAAUCUUCCGCAAUGGGCGAAAGCCUGACAGAGCAACGCCGCGUGAGUGAUGAAGGUCUUCGGAUCGUAAAACUCUGUUAUUAGGGAAGCGGUACCUAAUCAGAAAGCCACGGCUAACUACGUGCCAGCAGCCGCGGUAAUAC
rnacentral:rRNA from 1 species